rnacentral:rRNA from 1 species
UGAACGCUGGCGGCAUGCCUUACACAUGCAAGUCAAACGGUAACGCGGGGGCAACCCUGGCGACGAGUGGCGAACGGGUGAGUAAUACAUCGGAACGUACCUGGUAGUGGGGGAUAGCCCGGCGAAAGCCGGAUUAAUACCGCAUACGCACCACGGUGGAAAGCGGGGGACCGCAAGGCCUCGCGCUAUCAGAGCGGCCGAUGGCAGAUUAGCUAGUUGGUGGGGUAAAAGCCUACCAAGGCGACGAUCUGUAGCUGGUCUGAGAGGACGACCAGCCACACUGGGACUGAGACACGGCCCAGACUCCUACGGGAGGCAGCAGUCGGGAAUUUUGCGCAAUGGGGGAAACCCUGACGCAGCAAUACCGCGUGUGGGAUGAAGGCCUUCGGGUCGUAAACCACUUUUUUCGGGGUACGAUAAUGACGGUACCCGAGGAAUAAGCCACGGCUGACUACGUGCCAGCAG